rnacentral:rRNA from 1 species
UACGGAGGAUCCAAGCGUUAUCCGGAAUCAUUGGGUUUAAAGGGUGCGUAGGUGGGUCUGUAAGUCAGUGGUGAAAUCUCCGAGCUUAACUCGGAAACUGCCAUUGAUACUAUAGGUCUUGAAUUAUCUGGAGGUAAGCGGAAUAUGUCAUGUAGCGGUGAAAUGCUUAGAUAUGACAUAGAACACCAAUUGCGAAGGCAGCUUACUACGGAUUAUUGACACUGAGGCACGAAAGCUGGGGAUCAAACAGG